rnacentral:rRNA from 1 species
GUCCACGCCCUAACGAUGUUUACUUGCUGUUCCUGUCUUGAACGGGAGUGGCGAAGCGAAAGCGCUAAGUAACCACCUGGGGAGUACGCCGGCAACGGUGAAACUCAAAGGAAUUGACGGGGUCCGCACAAGCGGUGGAGCAUGUGGUUUAAUUCGAUGAUACGCGAGGAACCUUACCUGGGCUAGAAUGCGUGGAGAAGCGAUCUGAAAGGUGAAGCCGCCCUUCGGGGCUUCAUGCAAGGUGCUGCAUGGCUGUCGU